rnacentral:misc_RNA from 1 species
CUCCACUACUCUGUCUCAGCUCAGCUACUUGAUUUUAUAGGCAGUAAGCUUGUAAACGAGAGGGUGAGAUUUUAGAGAGGAAGAGGACCAAAAAUGAUCGGAAAAUGGUAAACGAGAACGAAAACUGUGGUCUGGACGGAGUUCCCGACAGAGAUAAUCUAAACCCUAAUUGUUCAAUGAGUUUGUGAUGGUGCAAGUUUGAGAAUAUGUUGUAUCUAACUCCAGCUUAACAUAAAUUUUCUCUGAGAAAAUGUCUCUUAGAUACCGACAUUUGAGACAAAUUUCAGUGCUGUUGUCUCGGAUUUUCCCAGGUAAUCAUUUACAGCAAUCUAAAGAAGUCAUAAACUUCUGCUCAGCUUCCUUUUUUAUCCCAGUGCAUCACUCAGACGAUUAUAAAAUUAGUGAUUGGAGGAUUCUGGAUAAAGGGUUUCAUUCUCAGAGGUACCAGCAAUAUCACUAGUGACAAAUGAGUCUACUCUUCAUGUUGAUGAUAUAUUGUCUGUCAUCCAGUCCACUUUUUGUGAGCUUCAAGGCCCAGAUCAUUGUUGGUUAAAUAGAGUUGAAGGAGAAAAAGAUUGCUUCAAGGAAGAUGGAACCUUUUUGGUUCUUGCUGGACAAUUCUUUGAGAAUUCUCAAAUAGUUCUUAUGAUUGAAAAAAUCAAGUCACUUCAGCGGAAAUAUCCUGAGCUUUGUGUAAUGGGCUUCCAUUCUGGAAAUUCGAUUGGAUAUGCCGCUGUUCAAGCUUACCUUAUUGAAUUGAUAAUGAAGGAGUACAUAACAUUUCCCAUUCUAUUGUCCAACAAGAACUUUUUAGAGAUGGAAAAUGGAGCAUGCUAUAUUUUAUUCAGAGAUUCUAGGAGUCCUGUUAUUUAUCAUGAGAAGGAUUUGGAUCUUGGAAUGCUUAAUAAAGGAAUUGAGGAGCUAAACGUGCAACAGAUUGGGAAUGUUGACAAUGAAAAUUAUAGUUCAUACAAGUUGAAGAGCACUUGGGUGAAACAAGCUGAAGGCAUUAAGGAACCAGAUUUUCCCACUUCUCUGCAAAAUAUGCUCCUCUACUUCCCAGGCUGCAUCUCUGCAGAUGAAAGUAGUGAUCGCUUAUUCCUUUCCGACAGCAAUCAUCAUCGGAUUAUCAUAUUGGAUGGGAAUGGAAAGAUUAUGGACUGUGUUUUGAGGAUGGAGAAUUUGAGUCUGCCAAACUACUGCGACCUGCUGGUUCCUUUUAUCAUGAUGCUGAGGAUUGCCUAUAUAUUGUAGAUUCGGAGAACCAAGCUAUCCGGAGAGCUGAUAUGAAGAGGCGAGUUUUAGAGACUCUUUAUCCCACUUGUAGUGUCAAUAAAAAUAAUAGUGUAUGGACCUGGAUUGCAAAUAAAGUGGGUUUUGCAACGAAGAUUGAUUCGAAGUCCAAAGAAUUUGAUUCCCAAUUGCUGGUUUUCCCCUGGCAUCUUUUGAAAUCAGUAGAUGAUAGUUUCUUAAUCAUCAACCGCAGCUUUGAAACCCUAUGGAUCAUGGAUUUGGCUUCGGGAGAAAUAAAAGAAUGUAUCAAAGGAUUUCCCAAGAUCUUGGAGACCUAUGGACAGUUGAUCAUGGAUAAAGUAUCCCUCUUGAAACAGAUGCCAAGUGAUUGGCUGCAGCGUUGUAUUAAUGCUGAUUCCUCUCCAAAGGUUUUUCCAUUUGCUAGUCUAAUAUCAGCUGUAACAACCUUUCAUAAUCUCAUAGUUGUGUGUGACACAGGUACGAAGCACAUUAGUUUGUUGUCUUCUUAUUUUCACCAAUCAUUUGGUUUUAGUUAUUACUCAUUUAUCACAAUACUUACUUGAAGUUGCACAGAGGGUGCUGAAACUAGAUAGAGAAUCAGGAGUCUGUUCAAACUUCCAGUUUUCAAAUUUUGGGAUCCUUGGAUUUCCUUAUUGGGCAUCCUUUCAUUUGGAGAGAGUUUUUUCUGAAGCUCCAUGCUGCAGAGGAUGGACUGAUCAUCUUCAAUCUUUCAGCUCGUUGCCAGGUAGGAUUGACAUACGGUUAAAUGUUGAUAUCCCUAUGGAUGUAGAGCUUGUUGAACCAUUGCAAAAAGAAUGUAUAUGGCGUCAGGCAAGGGGGGCUGCUACUGAAGUUUUAGGAAGAGAGUGUAUAGAGGGAUCCUCAGAGAAGGUUGGCGUUGCCCAACAGUGGUAUGAUGAUUUGGAUAAUCUGGCCUUUUCAACUCCUGAAUAUGAGAUUACGGGUGAAGACGGUAAUACAACUUCAGACGUCAAAUCUGAAGAUGGAAGGGUUCACAUUGAUUGUGCCAUUAAUACAAGUCCUGGAACAAGUGAGGUUAUUAUAUAUGCGGCAUUGUAUCUGAAACUUAGAGGAGAUCCUGAUUUAUACACCGACAGUCGGGAGAAUUAUGCGGCAAGAAUAACUGAUAUUUUGAACCCAGGGAGGAUAACAGGAAUUAGAAGAGAUGCAUGCAUUCAACUGUUAAAAUCGAAUGCCGAUCUGAGGGACCUCACUUUUAUGAAGCCUUUACAUGUGAGGAUCAAAUUGGAUUGUGUUGAUCACCCAAAAGCAGAUAAUGGAAAAGAUAUCAUCUUGACCAAUUCCUCCUUGGAAGUCAAUGUAACACUUUAGACGUGAAAAUUGCUGCUGUUGCUGACAGGUACAAUACAAUGGUUGUGAUAUUGGCUUCAUUUGCACUUGGAGCAGGAAUCAGGGUGUUGCACUCAUGGCUGAAUGCAUCUUCAGUUUCUUAUGUACUAUUACUAACAUUAUAUGUUAUUAAUUGAAACAA